AUGCCGGGCUUCGCCCUUCCUGGGUGUCCCGGAGUCCGUUCCGGAGAAACCCUGGCAUUGCCAGAACUGGGUCCCCGCACUCACUCCUCCAUAAUUCGCGGCGGAUCAGCGGGAGGAGGGCAGAGGGCGGGGGCGAGGCAGCUUCCUGGCGGGUGUGGCGCAAAGUGUGCGGGGUGUGGCGCAAAGUGCGCGGACCCGGGUCCUGGACCGAAGAUUUAGCCCAGGGUUUCGUGUGUGUUGCUCCCUGUUGCUUUCUACGGGGUCUGCGCUGGCCUCCUCCUCGGGCGACUGGGCCCUGAGGCAACAGCGCCUUCUCGAGCCCCGAGGAUUGACCGCCCCGAGCCUGCUUGGAGCAGGGCCUCUCUCCAGCGCGGUGUGAUGAAAGAAAAAAACCAUUCUUCCAGGAGAGGCUCCUCCAAGCAAACUUCCCCUUACAUCUCUUACCAGAACUGGGUCACAUGCUCCCAUCUAAAACAACCACUGGCCAUUAGAAAUGGUGUUACCAUGCCUGUCUUGGACCAAUCACAUUUGAUCCUCUGAGGAUAGAGACAUGUUGCCACCUGAACAACUGUGGGGUGCUGUACUCCUGGCAAGCAGGGAGAAUGGCUGUGGCUAGGCAACUGACAGCAUCUACCACAAAUAUGUUACUCAGAAGAAGAAUCGAGGAUGGCCAUAAUUUUUAUUUAAAGAUUUCUAUUUUACAGAGGCAUAUCUGAUUAAGGGACAUUUAAACUUCCCUGUUAAACUUAUCAAGACAAAAAGACAAGGCAUCUUGCCACAUUUCUUAAAUAUUCUCUGCAGUCUCUCUUGACCUUUUCCCAGCUGUGCUGUAAACAUAAAGAUAAUAACAUAUCUGAAUAACAUUUUAUGGUGCACAGAUAAUUUUCACAUACAUUAUCCAUUUGACCCUCACCAUAACUGUGUGGGGUAGGUAAGGU
ensembl:lncRNA novel transcript